rnacentral:lncRNA from 1 species
GCCGAUACAAAGGCCAGUGACCAUCCAAGAUAUCACAUAACAAGUUAUCAAUUUUCUAUUUGUCCCUCUCAUGCUCAAAGCUAAAAUCUCCCAUUUUAGACAUUCCCUUUCCUUUUCAUUUUCCUUCAUCUCAUCUUUAGCUUUUUAAUUUUAUUAUUCAAUUUCUCUCCAUCAAAAUUUAUUUCACUAGCUGAACUCAUAACUUCAUCCAUGAUUUCAUCCACCCACUGAAAGUAUCUACAAAAUUUAUCAUCUUGUAACAAAUUGUAACAAGUUGAAUCUAAAAAUCAACACAAUAAUGAGAUACAUUAAUUUGGAAAUGCUUAUAUUGAAAUUGCGGCAGCCAAAUAAUUUGUUCUUUUUUGAUUUUUCCUUUGUAGAUGUGCAGAUGCAGGCAUCAAUACCGCACCUACACUUCGGCCAUUUUGACUACAUACCGACAUUCUUCAAGACAUCACUGUUAAGCCGACUUUAGAUCAGACUGGGAGAUGAAAAGAAGAGCCCCAAUUUUGGGGGGCAAGACCAGAUCAAUUGUUGUCCUAAUCGAUUACUGGGAAUGAAGAACAAACCCUAAUCUUUUUGCUCU